UGCCAGCCGCCGCGGUAAUACGGAGGGGGUUAGCGUUGUUCGGAAUUACUGGGCGUAAAGCGUGCGUAGGCGGCUUGGUAGGUGAGAUGUGAAAGCCCACGGCCCAACCGUGGAAUUGCGUUUCAAACCCCCAAGCUUGAGGAAGAUAGGGGUGAUGGGAAUUUAUGGUGGAGCGGUGAAAUGCGUUGAUAUCAUAGGGAACACCGGUGGCGAAAGCGCAUCACUGGAUCUUUUCUGACGCUGAGGCACGAAAGCUAGGGUAGCGAACGGGAUUAGAUA
rnacentral:rRNA from 1 species